rfam:Sarcophilus harrisii ctg7180002509218, whole genome shotgun sequence.
GCCUGGAUAGCUUAACUGGUAGAGCAUCAGACUUUUAGUCUGAGGGUCCAGGGUUCAGGUCCCUGUUUGGACA